CUUCAGUGAUGAUACGAUGACGAGUCGGAGUGGGACGACCUCUUUCUCCAAGGACCUGGGUCAGUUCACGUUCUGUGUUUCUGAUUUCAGUCCCUUGGAGGAGAACGUCCCUUUUGCCUGAAGAUUUUGAGGCAUUUGUCUGAGAAGG